AAUAUGUGUUAUGGGCAUACUCUCAUUAACUCCUUAAAUCGCUCCCAUGCUUCAAAGAGUGAUUCACCGUCCAUCUUCCUGAAGUUGGUAACCUAGUUCCUAAGUU